GUCUACGGCCAUGCCACCCUGAACAAGCCCGAUCCCGUCUGAUCUCAGAAGCUAAGCAGGGUCGGGCCUGGUUAGUACUUGGAUGGGAGACCACCUAGGAAGAACAGGUGCUGUAGGCG
rnacentral:rRNA from 1 species